rnacentral:rRNA from 1 species
UACGUAGGUGGCAAGCGUUGUCCGGAUUUACUGGGCGUAAAGAGCGCGCAGGCGGCUGGUCAAGUCCGAUGUGAAAUCUCCCGGCUUAACUGGGAAACUGCAUCGGAAACUGAUCGGCUUGAAGGUGGGAGAGGGUAGUGGGAUUCCCGGUGUAGUGGUGAAAUGCGUAGAUAUCGGGAGGAACACCAGUGGCGAAGGCGACUACCUGGCCCAUUCUUGACGCUGAGGCGCGAAAGCUAGGGGAGCGAACGGG